CACGUAGGGAGCAAGCGUUGUCCGGAUUUAUUGGGCGUAAAGAGCUCGUAGGCGGUUCAGUAAGUCAGGUGUGAAACCUCCAGGCUCAACCUGGAGACGCCACCUGAUACUGCUGUGACUUGAGUCCGGUAGGGGAGCGUGGAAUUCCUGGUGUAGCGGUGAAAUGCGCAGAUAUCAGGAGGAACACCAGCGGCGAAGGCGCCACUCUGGGCCGGUACUGACGCUGAGGAGCGAAAGCGUGGGGAGCGAACAGG
rnacentral:rRNA from 1 species